AACCGCCAUUCAAAAACACAAGAAGAAGAAGAAGAAGAAGAAGAAGAAGAAGAGCUGUUCUUGGAGAGAAGAGCUGCGUUUUCUCCUGUUGUAAGAGUCGAAGAUAUCAGCAAGUCCAAGAAUGAUGUACCAGUACAGCCCAACUUGAAUAUAUUCCCAACCAUUUUGAUGGGGGGCAGAAGACGGAGCUUCAGGCCAAACUGUUUCCAAAGAGCCUGUCCACCCUCAGUGUCCUUCGGGACAGCAGCUGGAGGGACGGCUGCUACUAAUGGAUGGACUGGUGGACACCCCGCUGGCUCGGGUAACUCGCCACACCUCAACAUAAAGCUUUUUCUUUGGGGACGUUUUGACCAAAAAGUAACUGUAACCUUAAAUCUGCUUAAGUGCUGCAUACAAGAGUUCUCCAAAAGGGCCACAAGUGAACUGAUCUCUCAUGUCAUCCAUUGAAUUCUAUGCAGAAUUUCAUCGGGGAAGACCGAAUGUCCUUUUUUUUUUUUUUUUUUUUUUUUUUUUUCUGGAUUUGAGUGGAUGCAGAUCAGGUCUAAUUUUACCGACAGCUUGACGCUCCUGAGUUUGGUCCGUGCCAAGGGGGAGUUGUUCCCUGUUGCUCUUGUGCAAUAAACCACUGGCUGUAGGGUACCAGUAGUACUGACCUGCUAAAGAGGCUUGCCACUUUUUAUAUAAAUAAAGAGCCUCACUAUACCGUAUGUAUUUAUAUAUUUAUUUUAAAUACCUUUUUUUUUUUUUAACUAAUCAGGUGUUGUCAGCGCCAAAGAUGCUGCUAAAAUGAAUCCAUCCCUGUUGGUUUGGGCACAUUUGGUCUCAUUUUUACAAGGUCGACUGUAUGUAUCUGUGUACAAAGCUUACUAUUAAAUGGCUAUUUAUAUAAAUAUAUAUUGAUGCAAUAUUAUUGAAUCAAUUAUUGAUCUGUUCUUGUUGCACUUUGUGUAAAUCUCUGAACUUACUGAUGUUCUCAUCUUCUGUUAAUACUAAUGGUUGCACUUCCUUUUUAUUUGUGGGAAGAUUUCAGUUCUACACGGCAUAAUGUAGCACUGUUUCUUUGUAAUAGUUGGAUUGUGUUUUUAAAUGUCCGUCACUAUGGCACAUUUCACAAAAUCCUGAGCCUUUUGUUCCUGUGAUGAGCUGAAUGAGAGAAACAUUUUAAUAAAACCCACUGAAUCAAAUAUGA